rnacentral:rRNA from 1 species
AACGAACGCUGGCGGCAUGCCUAACACAUGCAAGUCGAACGAGACCUGCGGGUCUAGUGGCGCACGGGUGCGUAACGCGUGGGAACCUGCCCUUAGGUUCGGAAUAACUCCCCGAAAGGGGUGCUAAUACCGGAUAAUGUCUUCGGACCAAAGAUUUAUCGCCUUUGGAUGGGCCCGCGUUGGAUUAGCUAGUUGGUAGGGUAAAAGCCUACCAAGGCGACGAUCCAUAGCUGGUCUGAGAGGAUGAUCAGCCACACUGGGACUGAGACACGGCCCAGACUCCUACGGGAGGCAGCAGUGGGGAAUAUUGGAAAAUGGGCGAAAGCCUGAUCCAGCAAUGCCGCGUGAGUGAUGAAGGCCUUAGGGUUGUCAAGCUCUUUUACCCGGGAUGAUAAUGACAGUACCGGGAGAAUAAGCUCCGGCCAACUCCGUG